AACGAACGCUGGCGGCAUGCCUAACACAUGCAAGUCGAACGAUGCCUUCGGGCAUAGUGGCGCACGGGUGCGUAACGCGUGGGAAUCUGCCCUUGGCUUCGGAAUAACAGUUAGAAAUGACUGCUAAUACCGGAUGAUGUCCCCCUGAGAGAUCUUGGGGACCAAAGAUUUAUCGGCCAGGGAUGAGCCCGCGUAGGAUUAGGUAGUUGGUGGGGUAAAGGCCUACCAAGCCGACGAUCUUUAGCUGGUCUGAGAGGAUGAUCAGCCACACUGGGACUGAGACACGGCCCAGACUCCUACGGGAGGCAGCAGUGGGGAAUAUUGGACAAUGGGGGGAACCCUGAUCCAGCAAUGCCGCGUGAGUGAUGAAGGCCUUAGGGUUGUAAAGCUCUUUUACCAGGGAUGAUAAUGACAGUACCUGGAGAAUAAGCUCCGGCUAACUCCGUG
rnacentral:rRNA from 1 species